CAGUCCUGAUAGGGAGUCGUCUUCAACAUAAUAAAACACUUCUUGCAUUGGGUGAAUUAUAAAGCCUGGAAUGUUAUCUCUAGGCACUUUGAAGUCCGGGAUAGAAAACCCAAAUAUAUGAAAGCAACUUCAAAUGCAAUGUUGUAAAUUGGGAAAGAAAACGGAAAAGGAUGCGGAAAUGAACCACUGAUUAUGAAGAUGUUAUCAAAGAACAGGAUUUGGUUUUUUGGAUUAUGCCAGAAUUAUUGAUUCUUGGCAAGGCUAAAGAACAGCAAAAACAAGGAAGAGAAUGACCAGACCAAAAGACUUUUAAACUGAAAAUUGAACAAUGCCAGGCUAAUCCCUGGGAUGGGAAUGUGCAUUUGAGACAACGUGAAGGUGAUUUAUGGACCAUGAAUAUAGUUUGGGAACACCAAGAUCCAUGAUGUACUGCCCUGUGUGCCUGUGUUCUCAGACCCUUGUGAACCACACAGAACAGUGGGAUCUAGUCGUAGACGGUGAAUCUGGUCGACUCGAACUAUACGUACAAAUAAAUGUCUGAAAAAUUUGAAAGUUAGGACAUUCCAAGGCUGCAAGGGAGGGGGGAAAUCUUAAUCAAAGUGGACUCUGACGUAUUUCUGAGAUCCCUUCAUACACUGUGCCUUUUAUCAUCACCCUUGGUUGGCUGCCGUUGUCAAAUCUGAGUGCUGACAAGACUGGCCUUAAGAGAAAGAGCUCCAAGUUCCAUGUCCCAGCUGCCCAUGUGCAUCGGAAGGCACAAACCCUCCUCUCUCUCGUCAGUUACAAGUUUACUGUGGGCCUGAUAGAAUGACCGUGGACUCUGGGAAUUCAUUUCCGAAGCAGGAAGUGAGACCAGGAGGAAGCACAACAAAGCUGAUGCAUGUCGUGGUAACUAAAUCCAUGUCUGGGUUUAAUCAGAGGACACUGGUGAGUCAUGACUAGGAGAGCAGGGCUCCUCACGGCAGUAACAGCAGCAGAAGCGCACAUCAAAAUGCAGCAUCCAUGCUUGACUUCCUGCUCUCCAUUGUUCCACAGACAUUCUUAGACGGAGAGGAGAAGAUGCAGCAGAGAUGGCUGAUGCUUUAAGUCCUUGUUUUCACGUUCCACAGCUUUCACAGAAGUGCAUGCCUCCAAGCCACAAAGACAGGACAGCACAAUAGUAUUUACCCAAAGAGCAACGACCUUGAUGGCUUUGGACCCACGAUAUUGAUGCUUGUCUGUAGCCUCCUGCUCCAGCAGCUCUGUGAUUAGACCUAUGGGAGACGCUGUGUUUCCCCCUUGUCCAUGUUGGCAUCUUGCCUGGCUGAGGGGGCAUCCCUCCCUCAUGUGUGUUAUCUCUCUCCCCAAGAUCUCAAGGGGACUCCAAGGCAACUUUGCCUGGGGCUUUGCAUUUUGAAAGUCUGCCCCUGGAAAACGUUAUCUUUCUGUGGCACAUGGGCCUCUGUGGGAAGUGUUCGUCUAAGGAAAGCAAGUAAUUCUUAUUCAUCACAGAAUGCUGCCUAACAUACAAACUAUGAAGUGUAUUUCAGGCAAAUUACUGUACAUGGAGUUACAGAAGGAAAGUUAAAGCUAACAUUCCAAAACUACAAGCAGGAGACUACAUCUAGUGUUACUGUUCUAAAAGAACACAAGUGGAAUAGAGGCUAGAAAAAUGGCCAUGUUAAUUUCUAGGCCAUUUUUCUAUUCCAUGAACUAAAUCUGUAAUUAACAUCAAUUUAUACGGAGCAGGUUUUGGUAUUUGGAAUACUAUUAUUUGGCAAACAGCCUAUUGUCAUGUCCUUACUCAAAAUGAAGUUUUUGUACCACUUUUGAAUUUAGCCAUAAAUUUUAAAUUAUUUCCCUCAUUGCUUCAUUUGGGAUUUGAAAUUUGAAUUAUUAGAGCUUUAAAAUCUAUUUAAAUGUAGAUAUAUUCUUAUAGUUUCCUUUAUUUUCCAUGUUCAUUAAUACCUCAGUGGUUUCCUAUAAUCAGAAAAAAAGCAUCAUUGGUGGCUUAGGUAAAUUGGUAAUUUUAUUUAGUAUUUCCUAAUAAUAAAAAUUAAUAUAUAACAUUUAAUAAAUGUUCACCCAAGAGAGCCUGUAAUUCUAUACCCCCAGUAUAAUGGGACGGACUAAAGGAGGCAUUUCUUUCCUCCACUCUGAGACAAAAUGCAGUCCCUCAUCAUUAAUAAAAAAGUUUAAAACAACAAAUCUAAAAGUCAGUUCUUGAUCAAAAUCAAUUGUGAGGAGAAUUAGCCCUUCAAAUGACUGGUGACGGGUCACUUAGCAAUCCCCAGCUCAACGGGCAGUUUUUGUUCACAAUUUAGGGCAGCAGUUCUGUUCUUCUUAACAGGACAUUCAGUUCUGGAAGAAGAAUGCCAAUGCAAGUCCUAAGUAGGAGACCGUACUGCUUGUUCUUCUUGUGCAAUAAAAGGGAUCGUCCUGUGGCUAGAGAAGGUGAUUCUGAACAGGUGUCUCCUGGACAUUUGAAAGAUGGCAACUUUUCUGCUCUGUGAACUUUUCAUAAGCUCUUUGACAUAUAGAUGUUUGCAGAGCUAUUUGUUUUUCCUGGUUAUACUAUUUCUUGUGUGGAUCAACAUGUUGACACGAGGAAAGCAACCGGAUCAUGUAAUUGCAUCCAGAACAGAUACUCCUGUGAGCCCCCCUAGCUGGCAUGAGUUUACAGCAUCCAAUUUACACUACCUAAAGGAGGACCACCUUACUUCAAAGGGAAAUAGAGAAUGUUUUACUUUAGAUAUAGUUCUCAAAACAAGACUUGGUGUAUCAACAGAAAUUAGAGAUGGAGAGGGAAUAUUAAAAAGUUUCCUUUGCCUGUUCGCAUUUGUUCUUUACCUUUAGUUCCUUUUUUUCAUUGCAGACUUAAGUAACACAAUGGGAAAUGAUCCUGAUCUCCUAUGAAACUAUAAAUGCGCUGCAAGCCCUCGAACAAAAAGGAAAGAAAAGAGUAUCAGAGGAAAGGGUUUUAAGUUAAGGAAUCGAUUUUGCUGUGGUGGAAAAAAAUAGUUUUGUGUUCAGGAAGCUUCUGUUCUUGUCCAUAAUGCUGUCAGUGGUCCUUCAUGCUCUUGCUAAUAUCCCAGUGAAGAAUCACCGGGUGGCAGCGAGCACCAUUAACCUAAUGACUUGGAGUGCUUUGCCCUGGGCCACAAUUCCCAUUCUUACGUUCUCAGGACAUAAUUUGGUUUAGCCAUGACUGAAUUUCUUUAGAGGCUUGAGCCCAGGGGCCUCCACAAUAAUUCCCAUGUCCACAGCACCAUGUUGCUGGUAAAAAAAGCAUCCAGGGAUAGCCAACAGACGUGCUCUACUUUAUUAAUAAAACUUUAGACUGAGUGCCACUGACGGUUUUGUUCCACAACUGCUCCCUCCAGUAGGUAUUUCUACACUUAAUAAUUAGAUCUGUCAUUGAACUAUAAAAUAAAUAAAUAGCUAAUAACAGUUUUACCAUCUCAUUUUUGUGUUGGGGGUACAGCAAAAGAACAAAACUUCACAGUUGUAAACAUUUACAUUUUGAAGUAACUCAUAGAAGAGUUUCUUACGUGCCACUAACAUGCUGGCAGUAACAAUAUCUGUGCUUUUAUUUUGUAUUAUACUGUUUACGUUCAACUUGUCACUUUAUCAGUGCCUUGGCCUGAGAGUAAAUGAUUCCAAAUCCGCAUUCCCUUAGACGAUGCACAGAACUUUUGAGAACGGCUUUCACAUUCUGACAAACUUGCAAUUUUAUUUAAACAAAUUCUUCUCCUCCAGUUCCCUACAGAGCAGCUUUUGUGCCCUUUUGUUUUUCGUAGUGGACAUAGUGCAGAUCUCCAGUUACGUCCCAGUGGACCACCCACCACAAGCGGGUUUUGUCCCGCUCGCUCGCACAGCAGCACCGCCAGUCUCAUGCCUCCUGGAGACUGGAGAGAGGGCUUUUUCUCAGCCCCAGUCUCCGCUGGCCCUGCGUCUGUGCUUUUCCGGACAUGGAACAAGCUAAUCAAUUACCCCAAACCACUUAGGAGUAAAUACAUUGUCUAACAGAAUAAUUGUUAGGUGGUAAAAGAAAACAUCAUAAUGUUCUUUUGGAUAGGAAGUUGACAGCUUCCAGACAAAUGUAGAGCUCUGUCAGGAUGUGAAAUUGUAGUAAUGAAACAAGCAACGUACCUUUGACAAGAAGCAACUAAAUACAAUAGGGCAGAUGAUUCCAAGUACUCUCAUGAAUCUCCGAGUAUUUACAGUCAAUCCCUUAAAGUUAGCACUUCUUUUGUAAUCUUCUGAAAUAGAUCAUUUGGUUAGUAAAGCUUCUUGUGAGUAAUGCAGCAUUUGAAAGCACUAUUUAUAUAUGGCUUGAUGUAACAUAUCUCAAGGUAAAUUGUGGAUUGAAAAUAAAUACAUUGUUUUGGGUAAAUGAUGUAGGUUCUGACUCUUUGCUUUAAAUUCUUUUCCCAGGUAAGUCUGGUUUACAUGAGUAUGAUUUCUGGAAUGAUGUCCUACUCUGUAUUCCAAUUUCUUCUUGGUACUUUUCCUGCAAAAAUAAGGAUAAUUCCUUAAAUUUCAGUAAGUCAGAUGCUAUUUCAAUUGGUAUGUAAAAGUACUUUGAAAAUAUAUCCCCAUUGUUAUAGUUACCACUUACCAUAAAUUUGUAGCUCAAAUUUUUGAAAAAUGAACAGCCCCUAAAAUGUUAUGGGUUAAUGGAAUAGCAGAAUAAAAAGUAAAAGAAUCAAAUUGUUUCAGCUUAUAAGUUUGCCUUCACUAACAUUAGACCGAAUUGUUCUUUUUUUCAUCAAUAGAAAUAUACGUAACCCUGGGUUUGUAUUUCAGCACAAAAAUAUGGAAAGAAUUUUGGUUUUAUGUAUGAAAAAUAUUUUAGCUCUUUCAAAUAUAUAUUAUUUAGGAUGCGAUAAAAAUAUUAGUAGCUUCUUAAAACAAUGGGUAACAAAGAACCAUAGUUAAAGAUAAACAUAAAAAUGUGUUAGCUGACUUCAACCAUUCCUGCUUUCCAUUAUGACUCAAGAAGCAAUUUUAUUCCUUAGUAAUUGGAUCAUUUUGAAUCAUACACCCACAAUUAGGAUGAAAAAUAUGAGAUUAUUAAAUUCAUGCUCUUUUUAUGGAUCAGAAUUAAGUAUUACUAUUAUGCAUAAUAGAGACAAACUGAUACCCUAAUACGCUUCCUCCUACUCCCAUGAUUCUACAAUCUGCUCACCUCCAACACCACGUGCACACACAGACACACACACACACCCCCCCACACACUCCAGGAUCAGGAUUGUUUGAUCAGUUUUUGAUCAGAACUGAUGAGUUUUUUAUCUUGCAGUGUUUGAAGGCAUUUAUUGUGGGACAGUUUUUUAAAAAGCUGGUGUUUUGUAGUUUGGAAAGAACUGAUGGUAACAGUAUGCCUUCACACAUACACGCAAGUCCAGUUCCACUAUUGAGUUCCAUGAUUUUAUCACCACUUAGGGAACCAUCAAAAUAAGUUCUUACCCAUUCUUUAUGUAAAAUUGAAAUAUAAAAAAUAUAUGGAAAUGUACAUGAAUCAUAACUGUAUAGACAGAUGGAAUAUAAAGCCAGCAGCCAGAUAAAGAAAUAGAAUGAACCCAAAGUUUUCCUUACGCUCAGUAUUUUCCAUAAGGGUAGUCAUUAUCCUGAGUUCUAACACCAUAAAUUCGCUUUUGCCUGUUUUGUGAACUUUAUAUAAACGGAAAAUUUCCUAAUGUGCACUUUUUGUUUAAAGCAUCUUUUGCUCAAUCUGUUGUUUGGGGGAUCCAUCCAUGUUGUUGCAUAUAGCAAUCGUCAACUCUUUCUCGAUGCUCUGAUAGUAUUCCAUUCCAUAAUAAUAUAACAAUUUAUCUGUUCUACUU